GAGAUCUGUCUGCAUAAGUUCUAUUGUUGCGAGAGUCAGAUCACUUUCAGGAAAGUCUAAUCCAACGCCACAAGGAUCCAUGGGCUGGGAGAAGAAACUGUGGAGACUUCUCACCUGGAGCUUUGGGAGAAGCCAAUAAGAAAACUACGAGCUCCUUUUCUCCUCCAGAGAAGAUCAAGAUGAUCCUCCCAUCUCAGGAUCCACUAGAGGUGUCCUUCAGGAGUUCCGCAGGUUGCCUUGGUUUCCUAGAGGAGCUGUCCUGCAAGACUCCUCAGAGGCACAUCCCCAAAGAGAGAGAUAGCAGGCCAGAUGUUUCACAACGAGGCAGCCUCUGCUCUGAAGAGAGCGCAAUCAGACGCGGGCCCACAGGAAGCUUCCCACGGCUGCGGGCUGUUGGUGGAGUUCAGCCAGCGGUCAAGGAGCGGGCGGCCGCUCACCGAACCACGCUGCCUGCAGUGCCCCAAC
ensembl:lncRNA